rnacentral:rRNA from 1 species
GAUGAACGCUAGCGACAGGCUUAACACAUGCAAGUCGAGGGGCAGCAUAGAAGUAGCAAUACUUUGGUGGCGACCGGCGCACGGGUGAGUAACGCGUAUGCAACCUACCUAUCAGAGGGGAAUAACCCGGCGAAAGUCGGACUAAUACCGCAUAAAACAGGGGCACCGCAUGAUGAUAUUUGUUAAAGAAAUUCGCUGAUAGAUGGGCAUGCGUUCCAUUAGGUAGUUGGUGAGGUAACGGCUCACCAAGCCGACGAUGGAUAGGGGAACUGAGAGGUUGGUCCCCCACACUGGUACUGAGACACGGACCAGACACCUACGGGAGGCAGCAGUGAGGAAUAUUGGUCAAUGGGCGGGAGCCUGAACCAGCCAAGUCGCGUGAAGGAAGAAGGAUCUAUGGUUCGUAAACUUCUUUUGCAGGGGAAUAAAGUGCAGGACGUGUCCUGUUUUGUAUGUACCCUGAGAAUAAGGAUCGGCUAACUCCGUGCCAGCCGCCGCCGUAA